AUGCUUCAGCAACAUAUUAACUAGAACUGGAAUAACUCAAAAAAGACUAACCUGGCCCUGUGCAAGGAAGACAUGCAAAUUCAUGAAGGGUUCCAUAUUUUG